UUUUCAUAUUUGAGCACAAAUAUGGCGGGAUAUUUUUUAUUUCUACUUAGUAUUGUAUUAGUCGCUUCAACUGCUUUAAGAAUAGAGGAACACUGUGAUUUUCAGUUUGGUGAUCCAAAUUGGGGAAUAUCUAAAGUUGUAUACGACCGUGCUUCCUGGUUCCCGGAAGGGCAGGACAAAUGGAAUAUUUUUUUACCGAAAGACAAAGGCAUGAUCAGCUUCAUCUGUGUCAAGGUAUCUGUGGACUACAAGAAAAUGAUGAGAGUGCAAUACUCGCCAAUAUUUCAUAAGUUAACUUUAAAACUAGACAGACCGGCGCCGAAACAAUUCCUUUUCCAUGUUAAAGCUAAGGCACAUGGUUAUUAGUUAAAAACUUAAAACAUUUGUUUUACCGUCAAAGUACCGUUAAAAUUGACAGCUGUAUGUAGUUCUGGGGCCCGAUUCUCCUAAGUUAAUAAUGUCAAAAUCGAAUAGAAAUCGAAUCGCGAUAUGAUUGCAAUAGCAGUUUUAACCUUAUCGGGCAUUCUGCUACUAAUAUAAGACCAAUCGUAUUCCAACGACAUUCGAUUGGUGUGCGAUUGGUCUGCUAUUUUGGUGAUUUUGGUCUAUACGGCAGUUUGCUGUACAAUCACUUUGCAAUCGUAAAUCAUUCGCAGACAAAAUGAUUCAUUAUUGAAUGACAGAAAAGGAUAAAAACGUUUAUUUCAAAGAAAAAAUAGCGGAAUGCCAUAUACGCUUCAAUCGUAAUCGAGUCAUAAUUGUAUGUCGCUUAAGUAAAAUUAGGAGAAUCGGGCCCCUGUAUGUAACUAUGUAAUAUAUAUAAUCACUUAUAAUACCACAAGAGCUUCAAAAUUAUCGGGUAUUUUCCGAUAGGUUCGUUGCAAACAAAUGAAGGAGUCAAGUUUUUCAGGUUAAAAAAUAACGAGCGCGAAGCGCGAGUGAUUUUUCCUGAAAAACUUGACGACUUUAUUUGUUUGCAGGGAACCUUGAGGGAAAUGCCAGAUAAUUAUGAAGCUCGUGUGGUAUUCGGGAGAUUAUUUUUCCGUCCCAAAUGUCGGCCACAACCUGUCAGUUUGACGUAGCAACGACCAGAGAAAAUAUUCAAAAAAUUUUCAGUAUAAUACCAUGUAGGUUGUACCACGUGACGUCGAAUGGUGCAAUUCUAUUGGUCGAUAUUUGGGUCGGAAAAAUAAUCACUUAUAAUACCACAAGAGCUUCAAAAUUAUCGGGUAUUUUCCGAUAGGUUCGUUGCAAACAAAUGAAGGAGUCAAGUUUUUCAGGUUAAAAAAUAACGAGCGCGAAGCGCGAGUGAUUUUUCC